GAUGAACGCUAGCGGCAGGCCUAAUACAUGCAAGUCGAACGCGAUCCAGGAGCUUGCUCCUGGUGAAAGUGGCGCACGGGUGCGUAACGCGUAUGCAACCUACCUUAAUCAGGGGGAUAGCCCGGAGAAAUCCGGAUUAACACCGUAUAAAAUCACAAUCUGGCAUCAGAAAAUGAUCAAAUAUUUAUAGGAUUAAGAUG
rnacentral:rRNA from 1 species